rnacentral:rRNA from 1 species
CACGGGGGGAGCGAACGUUGUUCGGAAUUACUGGGCGUAAAGCGCGUGUAGGCGGCAACGCAAGUCGGAUGUGAAAGCCCAUGGCUCAACCAUGGAAGUGCACCCGAAACUGCGUUGCUAGAGUCUCGGAGAGGAAGGUGGAAUGCUUGGUGUAGAGGUGAAAUUCGUAGAUAUCAAGCGGAACACCGGUGGCGAAGGCGGCCUUCUGGACAGUGACUGACGCUGAGACGCGAAAGCGUGGGGAGCAAACAGG